CACAGUAAAGCAGAGAGAAAAAGCGUGGCAAAGUAUUGCAGACCGCCUGAAUGGGUAAGUAGUGCACAAUUACACACUCACCGCUCCGCUGAAACAUCACAAUUACAAUUAAAAGAUUUAAUUCACAUCUCCAAAAACGCAAUUGUACUCUGAUUAUAAAACAGUUAAUUUUUUUAUUGAAAUAGACUGCAAAUAUGAGUGAAAUUGUGUAAAGUAACUCCAUCACACUGGAUAAGGCUUCAAUAAAUUAUUAUGAAAGCCUUACAUUAUUACUACGCUCAUUAUGUACUCUGCUUCUUAUGUUGUACACCGUUUUUUUUUUCUUUUUCUUUUUUUUUCUGCUUUUAUUAAUGUAAAGCUGCUUUGAAACAAUGAAACAAUUGUGAAAAGCGCUUUAUAAAUAAAAUUCAAUUUAAUAAAUAGAGGAGCUAUUAAUAAUAAUCAAUUUAAUUUAUAAAGCGCCUUUCAAAGGACCCAAGGUCACUUGCUCCUUGCACUGCCAAAAAAUGACUUUCUACGUGUUUUUGUCUUGUUUUCAGUACAAAUAUCAAAACAUUCUUAAAUUAAGAUGUAUUAAAAGUUUUCUUGAAAUAUACUUUUUCAUAAACACUUAAUUUAAAACAUUUUUUUAUUCCAUUGGCUGAUAUUUUUGCUUAUUUUCCUAGGUCAUUUUGCUCAUCAAGAAAAUGCAUCUUAAUUCAAGAAUUUUUGAUAUUUUUACUGAAAACAAGACAACAAUACAAAGUAAGUCAUUUUUUGCAGUGUGACUCCAUUGAAUGUUCUUGUGUGUUAAAGAAAGUCUCUCUUUUUGUGUGUGGUGUUGUGUGAUGUAGAUUAAAUAUGACCGGGCCAAAACGGACAUGGCAGCAGGUCAAAAUCAAAAUCUGCAGAAUGCAGUGAAAAAGAAUACCUAGAGACAAGGCACGGGUGGUGGGUCACCAAAAGCUGACCUCAUCCCAGCAGAGGCCAGCUUUGGAGUUAAAUAAAGGCAGGCCUGUUGGAGGGAAUCCCUGGGGGAAAAGAGACAAGCAUAGGUCCCUCACAAGAUGCCACCCGCUUCAUACAAGUGUCUGGCAGCACUGUGUUACUGUUAAAGCCACCAGCACGAGCACCAGACGAUGCUGAUCCAGUGAGUACUCCAUCAAAGGCAUACUGUAGGCCUGGCACGUCUUGUCUACUAGCUUCAAUAUGAAUCCGAUUAAAUGUGAUGGGGUCAAGGCCCCAUUUCAUCAGCACAUAACAGCGAUGAUGAUGAGGAGACCAUCUCGCUGGAUUCCAAAAGGCAUAAGGACCCAGAGUCAUUGGUGCACUGGACUGCACAAACAUAAGGAUAAAAGCCCCCUCAGGUGCCCAUGAGGCAGAUUUUGUAAAUAUGAAAUCUUUUUACAGCAUUAAUGUUCAGGUGAACAUAACUUUUUUAUCUUUUCCAUUGAACACUGGCAAAAUGGCCUGGCUCAGUCCAUGACUCCCGAAUCUUUUGGACCUCUGAAAUCUAUCAGCUCCUAUCACAAGGUGAAUUCUCUGGUGUGUUGCUGGUAGACAGGGGGUAAGGCUGCCAGCCGUUUUUCCUGACACCUUUCACAGACCCCCAGGAAGCACAGCAGGCCUACAACUAUGCCCAUGCUAGGGCCAGAGUUGAAAUGACCUUUGGCCUCCUGAAGGCACGCUCUCACUGCCUUCACAAAUUAAGGGUCAGCCCUGUGAGGGCAUGUGACAUUACUGUGGCUUGUGGUGUCCUCCACAAUGUGGCCUGCCUGAGGAAGGAGAGGGCACCCAGAGUGCCGCCAGCCAUGGACUGGGACAAUCCGGAAAUCUUCUCUGAUGACAACAGUGGUCGGCUGCUGAGGGACCAAUAUGUGUUGAAUUAUUUUA